GGCGACGUGGCCAAGUGGUUAAGGCAAGGGUCUGCAAAACCCUGAUCGCCGGUUCAAAUCCGGCCGUCGCCUCCA
rnacentral:tRNA from 1 species